rnacentral:tRNA from 1 species
ACUUAAAUAGCUUAUAUAGAGUAUAAUAUUGAAGAUAUUAAGGAAAUUGAUAAAUUUUUAAGUA